rnacentral:rRNA from 1 species
UAUCAAUAAGCGGAGCAAUCUGGCGUCUUCCGCGUCCGAGUUGUAAUUUGAAGAAGGUAUCUUUGGUUUUGGCUCUUGUCUAUGUUCCUUGGAACAGGACGUCACAGAGGGUGAGAAUCCCGUGCGAUGAGAUGCCCAAUUCCAUGUAAAGUUCCUUCGACGAGUCGAGUUGUUUGGGAAUGCAGCUCUAAGUGGGUGGUAAAUUCCAUCUAAAGCUAAAUAUUGGCGAGAGACCGAUAGCGAACAAGUACUGUGAAGGAAAGAUGAAAAGAACUUUGAAAAGAGAGUGAAAAAGUACGUGAAAUUGUUGAAAGGGAAGGGCUUGAGAUCAGACUUGGAAUUUUCCAGCAAUGGAGCUUUCCGGGCCAGCAUCAGUUUGGAUGGCAGGAUAAUUGCGUAGGAAAGUGGCACCACCUCGGUGGUGUGUUAUAGCCUGCGUCGAUACUGCCUAUCUAGACUGAGGACUGCGUCUUUGACUAGGAUGCUGGCAUAAUGAUCUUAAGCC